rnacentral:tRNA from 1 species
GGCUCGAUAGCUUAGUUGGUAAAGCGCUCGUCUAGCAUACAAGAGUCCUGGGUUCAAAUCCCAGCCAAGCAC